CCCCAUUGUUCUAUAAAUUGCAGUAUAAUUCUUCAUUCCAAACUACAUCAAUUACAUAACUUUCCUGUCUAAUCCUCCCUAUUCCUGCAUUAUUCUUUCUCUAGUCCAUACCAUUGUGCAUUUUGAAGAUGAAGAAAACAGCUAAUAUUGCACUCUGCUUGGCAGUUGCGGUUCUGUUGCUAGGCGAAUUGCACGUGACCGAGGCGGUUAAUUGCUGGAGCUGAUUUCAUGCGCCGGGGCGAUAAUGACAUCGCUGCCUCCCUCGGAUGCCUGCUGCAGCAAGCUGAAGGAGCAGGAGCCUUGCCUUUGUGGGUAUAUAAAAGAUCCAAGCCUGAGUCAGUAUGUUAACACUCCCGAUGCCAGAAGGGUUGCCAGCACCUGCGGUGUGCCCACCCCUAAAUGCUAAUUAGAGAACUUCACCUGAAGAGUUGUAUUGCUAUAUUAUAAGAUGUGUGAAUAAUUUGCAGGCUGUGUAUCAUCGUAACUUACAUGGUAAACUGGCCUUGAGUUUAUACUUUU
rnacentral:lncRNA from 1 species